rnacentral:rRNA from 1 species
UACGUAGGCAGCGAGCGUUGUUCGGAAUUACUGGGCGUAAAGAGUGUGUAGGCGGUGCUCUAAGUUCGGUGUGAAAUCUCCUGGCUCAACUGGGAGGGUGCGCCGGAAACUGGAGUGCUUGAGCGUGGGAGAGGAAAGCGGAAUUCCUGGUGUAGCGGUGAAAUGCGUAGAUAUGCGGAGGAACACCGAUGGCGAAGGCAAUCCCCUGGGCCUGCACUGACGCUCAUGCACGAAAAGCGUGGGGGAGCAAACAGG